rnacentral:tRNA from 1 species
CGGGGUGUGGCUCAGCUUGGCUAGAGCGCCUGAUUUGGGUUCAGGAGGCCGCAGGUUCAAAUCCUGUCACCCCGA